rnacentral:lncRNA from 1 species
UCUCACCUUCUCUGCUUUCAUUUCCCCCAGGGCCCCAGCUUCAUCCUGUCACUGCUGCUGGACCAGAGCCAGUGAAGGCCAUCUCUUAGGGCUCCCCACAACUCCUUAACUGAGGUCCUGUUUGCCUCUGUUUUUAAAUUCUUCAGAGCGGAUGCUGCUAGGGCUUACCUUGCCCUUGACUCUACUGAGGGAGCAUUAUGAACCAAUCAUUUUCAUCGCUCAAGCGGGAUUAUCUUAACCUGCAAGGCAGAUGGUUUUUGAGCACUUGGCUGAUGCCUGAUGCCCAAUUGGGAUUAAUCUCCACAUCCUAACAAGAGGAACGACUAUUUCUCAGGGAACAGAAGCGGAGGUGCAUUCAGGCCAUAUGUGUAACUUUGGGAUCAGCUUUCUGUGAUGAAACUGGAAGCGAAUCCCAGAUGAGAGGCUCAACUGUUUCAGAAGAACAUUGCAAAGCCCAGCGCGCCUAACCAAGUUGUCACACACAGAGCAGAACUAUUGAUGAGAGCCAUCCAACAUCUGUUGCCUGGGUAACCAUCAAUCCACUAAGCCGGCUCUGAGUCAUAAAUGGCGUGGGGAGAAGAUCUGCUGGGACAGAGGGCAGCGCAAACUCUUUUCAUCCUUCCCCAUCUCCAGAUGUGGCCUACGGCUGCCACACAAGGUUAAUAGAAGCCUAUUAUCAAAUCCCUACAGACCUAAAAGAAACCCUCUUUCCCUGACCCUCACUCAAAGUUUCUUGGACCUCCAUUAGUUUUUUCACAAAACCUCCCCAGAUUCUUAACAGUGCUUAGCAUAUUACCAUUGCUAAGCAGCACUACUCAAAAUGCCAGUCUGCUGAUUGGUGCUACGUUAUUCCACACCAGCAUCUGGCUCCCAGCCCGCACUUGGAGUAGCACUGGGCUAGAGCACCUACUCCUUAGGACCACUGUGGUAGCCAGUCAGAGCUCACACACUUACCGUGACUUUCACUUGGGACUUUGGUAACGGGAAAACCUACUACAUGGUUCUCCUUUCAUGUAUUCCAUCACAUCCAAUAUGCUGAACACAAUGUAGAGAGAAAAAUGAAUAAUAUGCCUUUGCAGAGUAACUAGUUCUAGUUCUCUAAAAAUACUCCAGGAUGUAUUCCCAAAAGAACUGAAAAUAAUUUUCAAGCAAAAACUUAUACAUAAAUGUUCAUAGCAGCGCUAUUUACCACAGCCAAAAGGUGGAAACAACCCAAAUGUCCAUCAGUGGAUGAAAGGACAAGCAAAAUGUAGUAUAUAAAGAAAAUAUAGUACCCACAGUUCCAUCACCCAAAACCAAAUACUGUUCACAUCUUGUUUCAGUUUAUGUUCCAUAGUAAUAAUUCAUUCUGCAUAUAUAAUUUAUAUUUUGUUUUCAAACUUUAUGUUAUUUCCAAAGUAUUGCCUGUGUUCCAUAAGUUUCAUGAGCUUAAACUACCAGGUAGAGGUUCCUGAUACAUAUUUCUUAAAUUGCUUCUUAAUAUUGUACUAAUUUAUACUGACC